CCUGGGUGUAGUGGUGUGCACCUGUAAUUCCAGCUACUCGGGAGGCUGAGGCAGAAGAAUGGCUUGAACCUAGGAGACAGAGGUUGCAGGAGAUUGCUGAUUGCAUCAGUCAGGCGCAGUGGCUCAUGCCUGUAAUCCCAACAUUUUGGGAGGCCAGAAGUUUGAGAGCAGCCUGAAUAACAUAGUGAAGCCCAGUCUCUAUUUAAAAAUUUUAAAAAUUAGCUGUGCAUGGUAGCACAUGCUUGUAGUCCCACCUAUUCAGGAGGCUGAGGUGGGAGGAUCACUUGAAGCUGACACUGCAGUGAGCUAUGAUUGUGCCACUGCACUCCAGCCUGGGCAACAGAGAAAGACCUGUCUCUAUAAAAAAAAAGAAAAUAAGAAAGAAAGCAUUGGGCUGGGCGCGGUGGCUCACGCCUGUAAUCCCAGCAGUUUGGGAGGCUGAGGCGGGCGGAUCACGAGGUCAGGAGAUGGAGACCAUCCUGGCUAACACGGUGAAACCCCGUCUCUACUAAAAAUACAAAAAAUUAGCUGGACGUGGUGGCGGGCGCCUGUAGUCCCAGCUACUCAGGAGGCUGAGCCAGGAGAAUGGCAUGAACCCGGGAGGUGGAGCUUGCAGUGAGCCGAGAUCGCGCCACUGCACUCCAGCCUGGGCGACAGAGUGAGACUCCGUCUCAAAAAAAAAAGAAAGAAAGCAUUGACACUAUUAUUGGUAUUCCAAAAUUCCAAAGAAGCAAGUUGGUGUCAUAAAAUAACAGUGGGCUUUGGGGACAGACAGACCUCCUUGGUCUGGAACCUUGGGCAUAUUUAGUCGUGCCUCUUGGUCUGUUUUCUCAGCUAUAAAAUGGGGGUGCCAUUCUCAUCAUUCAGGGCGUGUGUGUGAAUGGAAUAACCUAGGAAGCAUGCCUCGUGUCACCCAUGGAAGGCAACAACGCGGGUCCCCUCCCACCUGAUCUCUCUCAGAUCAGCCGCUCUUGGAAG
rnacentral:lncRNA from 10 species